rnacentral:lncRNA from 1 species
UGAGGAGAUGAGAAUAGCAACUGAGGAGCUUAAGCAUGGGAUGGAGGACGCAAGUGGGGUGUCGGAUGCAAUGGCAGUUGACCAUUAACUAGAUUGAAAGUCUCAUUGUUGUAGCAUCUCAGACUUGCACUUCAUUUUUGGCGCUUUCUUAUUGUGAUUAGGAACCAUAUAUGUAAAUGAAAUGUCAAUGUUAUUGUGCUAGUGCUUAGAACUUUGUAAAACUUGCAUUUUGAUCGGAGUUUUCUAUGAAAUUGUGUAACAACAUUGUUGGCUCUUUCACUUUUUUCUUCUUCUUUAUGAUCAAUUUACAUCCAAAGGAUCUGGUAUUUGUAUGUACGUAUUACAAACAAAUCCAUACGAGAUUGGGAUAGGGAAGAAAAUACGGUAUUAAAUUUGUCGUUAGCACAACUCUACAGUAAACUCAAUCAAGAGAUUGAACUGAUGUAAGAUAAAUUAUUUGGGAGAAUCUGAUUAUUU